rnacentral:rRNA from 1 species
CAGCCGCGGUAAUUCCAGCUCCAAUAGCGUAUACUUAAGUUGUUGCAGUUAAAAAGCUCGUAGUUGAAAUUCGAAUUAGCUGAUAGAGGGCUUAGGCUAUCUAGCAGUUGGUUCUCCGUCUACAAUCCCUCUUGGGCUUCAGGGUUGCAGAGGGCUGAGUAGACAAUUUACCUUGAAAAAAUUAGAGUGUUCCAGGCAGGUUUUCGCCGGAAUACAUUAGCAUGGAAUAAUGGAAUAGGACUUAGGUCUUUUGUUGGUUUUAGGAUCUGAGUAAUGAUUAAUAGGGACAGAUGGGGGCAUUAGUAUUUAAUUGUCAGAGGUGAAAUUCUUGGAUUUAUUAAAGACUAACUUAUGCGAAAGCAUUUGCCAAGGAUGUUUUCAUUAAUCAAGAACGAAAGUUAGGGGAUCAAAGACGAUCAGAUACCGUCGUAGUCUUAACUAUAAACUAUACCGACUCGGGAUCGGAAGGGUAAUAUUUAAGGCCCUUUCGGCACCGUAAGAGAA